rnacentral:rRNA from 1 species
GACGAACGCUGGCGGCGUGCCUAAUACAUGCAAGUUGAGCGCUGAAGGUUGGUACUUGUACCAACUGGAUGAGCAGCGAACGGGUGAGUAACGCGUGGGGAAUCUGCCUUUGAGCGGGGGACAACAUUUGGAAACGAAUGCUAAUACCGCAUAAAAACUUUAAACACAAGUUUUAAGUUUGAAAGAUGCAAUUGCAUCACUCAAAGAUGAUCCCGCGUUGUAUUAGCUAGUUGGUGAGGUAAAGGCUCACCAAGGCGAUGAUACAUAGCCGACCUGAGAGGGGGAUCAGCCACAUUGGGACUGAGACACGGCCCAAACUCCUACGGGAGGCAGCAGGGGGGAAUCUUGGGCAAUGGGCGAAAGCCUGAACCAGCAAGGCCGCGUGUGUGAAGAAGGUUUUCGGAUUGUAAAACACUUUGGGUUGGGAGGAAGGGUGGUGAGGUAAGAAAGUGCUGAAGUGAAGGUAACAACCGAAUAAGGGAAGGGUAAAUUCGUG